CACGGAGUUAGCCGGUGCUUCUUCUUCAGGUGACGUCAGGACGCGGGGAUAUUAGCCCCACGCUGUUCUUCCCUGCUGAAAGUGCUUUACAACCCGCAGGCCUUCUUCACACACGCGGCAUUGCUGGAUCAGGCUUUCGCCCAUUGUCCAAUAUUCCCCACUGCUGCCUCCCGUAGGAGUCCGGACCGUGUCUCAGUUCCGGUGUGGCUGAUCGUCCUCUCAGACCAGCUACGGAUCGUCGCCUUGGUAGGCCGUUACCCUACCAACAAGCUAAUCCGACUUGGGCUCAUCCAAUAGCGCGAGGUCCGAAGAUCCCCCGCUUUCCCCCGUAGGGCGUAUGCGGUAUUAGCACGAGUUUCCCCGUGUUGUCCCCCAUACUGGGCAGAUUCCCAAGCAUUACUCACCCGUCCGCCACUCGCCGCCAGGCCGAAGCCCGCGCUGCCGUUCGACUUGCAUGUGUUAGGCAUGCCGCCAGCGUUCAAUCUGAGCCAGGAUCAAACUCUC
rnacentral:rRNA from 1 species